GGAUCUCCUUUAUUUCCAUCAGAAGGCUAACAUUUUGCUUUCUUAAGUUUUCUUUCUGUAACACUUUAAAGGCAAAUAUGAAUUUAUCAUAACUUGAUUUUUACAAAUAAUGCAUACAUAUGGUAGCAAAUAAUUUAAAGAAGAGUUUGUGGGAUAAAGCUUGAAUGAUUAGGAUGAACUCAGCACUUGGGAUUUCAUUUAGCUGUUUAGAUAUUCCAUUUCUUGCAUAUAUGUCUAUAAUAAGUUCUCAGAGUGUGACUUUGGCUUUGUUUUGUUGUGGGUUUGUUUGUCUCUUCCAUUGUGCUACUCUGGCUUAAGCUUUUUCAGGGGUUGGUGUUCCGAAUACACAGUGAGCUCACACUUUAAAGACAUCAAUUAGGAGUUGACAGGUAUGGAAAACUAGAGUUGUGUAAAGUAAACUAGGUUCUAGGUUCUAUAUAUGGUUUAAAGUACACUGCGUUCAGUUGGCCUUAGUGACAUGCACGGGGCUUGUGAAACCAAUAGAGCUUUUUAGUCACCUUAGAAGUGAUCACUAGAGCCUAACAGAUGUAUGUGAAUAGCCAAAGACUAUCAAAUUCUAAAGAGUACACAUUAUAUAGAUUGGAACAUAUAGGGUAGCAUUUCUGAAGCACAGCAUGGUUAACCAGAUUAGCCAGGGUCAUAAAACAAAGUUAGUGGCAGAAUGGAAAUAGUCUGUACAGUUUGGUAGUCUUCUGUUAGGUACCACGUUUCUUUAUGUCCACCCCAGUUUGCUUACUGUUUCCUCCUUCCCUGUCCUUUCUAAGGUUUUCACUCUGAAAGCUAGCCUUAUAUUUUACAUUACAGCAGCAAUCUCUCUCUAAUUAAUGGUUUCAGAGACAGUAGCCAGCACCUUCCCUUCAUUUUUAUUUUUGCAUCGUUUUCUCUGGUAGCUUGUAAUGUCCUACACAAAGAAUGUAUACAUUCAGCAGACCUGGUCAGUGAAUAAGAAACCCUGCCUCAGCUAGAGGCAUGUAAUAAAUGAUUAGCCUAUUCUGUGCUUCAGUUGACACGUGAGAUAGGGAUAUCCUCUGGCAUCUUAAGAUAAUUAUUUGUUGAAUUGAACUGAAAUUUACUUGACCAAGAAUUCCACCUGCACUCCUACAGGGAUGUAUGAGGUGUUCUGAGAAGGACUCCUUCAGGAGACUUCUGUUCUCUGGCCUAUGAGAAUGGCCACCGGUAGAAUGUUUGCAUUGUGCAGGCUGUAGAGAGUUUAAACAACCCCUAUUCUGAUGCCCCAUUAAAUAUUGCUGACUUGUAAGGAAUCUUGAUUUUAUUGUAUUCAAAACUUAGGUGGACCUUAUAUAGUAUAUUUACCUGGCUGCUAUUUGGGAUUUGGGGAACAUGAGGGGUGGGGUGAACUGUUGUUGUUUUAGGUUUCAGUCAGACAGACAUCCCUGUGCCUCAGUUCCCAGAAGCACAGCAGGCCUCUAGGAGCAUCCGUGGGAACGGCGCAGUCCUGACAUCUCCAACUUCUCCUGCUCAGGCUCAUCCCAUAUGCAGAGGUCAAAAGGGUGGGGUUUGAGAUGGGGGAAGGAAUGAGAAAGUGGAAGUGAUGUCAUUGCAGGUCUGCUGUUGACCAGCUCUUUGGUGCUUAUGUCAGUGUGCGUUUAUUUUAAGUUGCCAAGUCUGUACAUACAUCUAUUUGGGGAGAAGGUAAUGGGAGGGUGGAAAAAGUAAGCUGUUAUUAUUGCUAGGCUCUUCUUGGAUGUAGUUCCUUAGUGUCUAAUAGAAAAUUUCAGACGUAGGCUCCAGUGACAAAGAAUGGGGAUAGAGGUGAAUCUUAGAUUUUUAAAACGCAUUAGACAUUAUGCUGUGUUAAUUCCCAGUUCUCUUAGAACUAUUAUUUUUGUCAUUCUUUCCCUUCCCCCUAGUUUUUCUAGGUAUGUGUUAGUUUAAGGAAAUGUACAUUCAUGAUCAGCCCUUUCUAAGGGACUUAAUGAAUAUUAACUCUUUUGCAAAAAAAAAAAAUACCCAAUGCUUAUAUGGGCAUACAAAUGCUACCCUAUUUUAAAUGUAGGUGGCGUAUGUGUUCGUGUUUUAUUGUAUUCAGAGCCAUUGGGCAAUAAGCAGUCCAGAACAUUGAAAUCUCAAGCAGGUAAAGCACCUAAUACCCUUAGUUUCUAGAAUUACUUUAAAGGCUUUGCAUUGAUGUGUCUUCCAUGGUUCUUUGGAUAGUCUCUGAGUUUGGAAUUUGUAGGAGUUGUAGACUACCUAGUUAAUUUAAAUCAUGUACUUAUUUAUAGCUCAUAGGGAUACAUAGGGAAGGAGAACAGUGAAACAGAACACCGCUCUUUGAGAUAACGACCAUUGAGUGUAUAAUCGUUCCUCUUCCUUUCUUUCUGUUUUUAAUUUUCCUAGCUUAGCAUGAACAUUGAUCAUACGUUAUUUGGUUUUCUAUGAUUGGGUUUUUCUCUCCUGAUUAUUGAGGUGGGAUGGCAAUAUUUGAAAAUGUUGAGUCACAUGUUAAACUAUGAACUGUUAAAGCAUUGUUUUAUUUGAACAAUAAGCAAGGCCCUUUUCUAUAUGCCCUUCUGCUGCAGCAGAGAGAUAAACGGGUAGGUGGCAGCAGAGAAAAGAAUCUUGAGAGUGGCUGUUGACCUUAAACCUGCAUAGCAGAAGAAACGGCAUGUGACGUGCCUAGUGGAGCGAGGAAGGGCAGAGACGCAAGCUGGACUUAGGACGCCUGCCUCCUUAUUCUGAGGGUUCUCUUGAAACAACCAGUGCUAUUCUGGAUGAAGACAGAUUGGAGUUCACUUUUUAAAGUGGAAGAACAACACAGAAUAAGAAGUCGAUAGUUGUACCUUGUUGGAUUCAGUGUGGUUUCUUUUUCUAAAAUAAAAGCACUGAAUGGAAGUAACA